CAUCCGCCGUGGGGAGGGCAACCUCCCGACCCCUCGGACCCACACGUACCACUGCAGCGCCGGUCGGCACCUAAGACUUAUUGUCUUGGAGAGCCCAGCCUUACCGAAACCCUGAGCCUACCUGGGGCCAGAAAGAGAAACCCCCAUUAAGAUUACAGUUAUGAGGCAGCAGGUGUACUAUAAGAUAGGAGUAUAUCUUGUUAAUUGAAAAACUAAAAGGUGAAUGAUAAAAAGAAAAAAGAAGGGAAUUCUUUUCAGAGGACACUCAGAGGGCAAAGUUCCUACUGCCUCUAGGAGGAGAGUCCCGGGAAAAGCAGAACAAGAUCUGCAAGAAAAAAACUGGAGCCGGGAUGGGCCAUAUGAGACCAGCUGAGCAACAGAACACUUUGGCUCCUCUUUUGGAGAAGAAGGAGAGAAUCUGAGAACAAAACGUAAAAGACAAGAGAAAUAGAGGAUCCAAGAUUUCUUUUUUAAGAUGGCAGAGACCAGAGCAUGUUUGUAGGGAAAAAACUCUUUCCUUAGUGCCCAGGGAAAGAGGCACUAGAUUGGGAAAGAUUGAAAUUGAGAGGAAAAGAAUGAUAAGUUGCAUAGCACAAUGGGGAACUAGACUUGGAGUCAGAAAGACCUGACUUCAACUUCUCCCUCAGAUAUUCACUAACUGUGUAACUCUGGGCAACUCUCUCAACCCCUCUGGGCCUCAGUUUCCUUAUUUGUUAAAUGAGAGGGUUUAAUAAAUAAAAGACUUGGUGGUCUCUAAAGUUUUUGAGCUCUAAAUGCA
rnacentral:lncRNA from 1 species